rnacentral:lncRNA from 1 species
AGAACAUGCUUGUCUCACAUCGAGAGCUUCUUGUUCUGAAUGUUGUGAUGAAACAGGCUUUCAAGUGUCCCCGGACUUGGCACAGCCACUCAAUUGACAAACCCUGUCACCAGUGGCCGGAAUUCAGUGAAACUGGCUGGAAAUGCUGUGGACAUAAGAGAUGAGACUGAGGCUUGAGUUGUCAGGGCGUCUUCACCAGACUGCCUUACAGUAGGCGCUUCACAUAUACACCCCAUCCCCAGGGAUGCCAGCGCCUGCAGGCACUCAUGUCCCUUGUAACCCGCCUCAGGUUUGCAGAGCUUCUGCACCUCCUCCCUGUGUUGGGUCGGCCACAGCCCCCAGGACAUGAGUGCCGUGCAGGCAGCCGAACACAUGUUCAGGGAGAGGGGAGCGUGUCCUUGUCCGUGCUCCAUGCAGGGGCAGUGUUUCUCCAGAACUUUCCAGCCCACUGCGACAGGAGGCCAGCUCAGAUGCUCAGUUCUCAGAAUGAUGCCAGUAGAGGAAUCAGGCCUUUCUGAAGAUCUUUGGCAACUAGCCAUCUAUACAGGUAAUUGCCUGCACUAUUACUCAUUUGGGGAACAGCAAAUUUAUAAAAUGUUUAACAUAAUCCAAAUAAUUUUAAGAAAAAGCCUUUGGCCAAAUGCAAGUUUCCUGAUGUAGACUUUGCACCAAUCCUAGGACCUGAGCUUACAGACUCCAGUGUGACCCCCAAGGAGUGGAGAGGGCUGCAGCUCCAGGGAGGGAGGGAGGGGCAGCACAGGUGGGGGAGCCCGCCUCUGGAUGGGACAAACCGACAGGCUGUCCUUUUUCCCUAUAGACCACUUGUUGGAAGAUAGCCUGAAGGGAGACCUGAAUUUUGAGGUGUAUGUGCGCAAAGGGCCAUAUCUAUACUAAUAUAUCAAAACACUGAAACAAAUGCAGUGUCUACACAGGAGGAAGCAAGAUGUCCGCUCACAGCAGCCGGGAAGCUAAGGAAGAGCAGGGACCAGGUCCUCAAGGGCAUGCCUCCAGUGCCUGCUCCCUCUACCCAGUCCCUACCUGGCUGCAGCCACCACCUAGUACAGGAGCCCUUCAGAUGGGUGAACCCACCCAUCACAACAUUUAAUUUCCUGCCCUGCCAGGAGCUUUUGGGUGAUAGCUCAUAUCCAAACCAUAACAGAUGGGGUCUAUAGUCCCUCCUCCUGGCCUCUGGACUUCUUGUCAGUAGUGAAAGGAGGAAGUCGUAUGGGGCCAGUUCCUCCAGCCUCCAUGCUGAGAGGAAGCCAGACUGCACAUCGGGGAGACUUUGGAGAAAUCAACAGCCAGCUUGUCUGCUGGCCAGUCACCUGGCUGACCCUCCAGCCUCAGGAAUGCCGCCGCACAAGCGCACAUGCAUAUUUAUUGUUUAUGCAAAAAGAGAUAAGGAAAACAUAGCAUUUCCUUAUUUGUGCAAAAGCUGUGGGCUGAGUCGUCCAGAACUAAAUGAACUUUUCUAGGUCCGUAGAUGAGGGGCAGUGGGGCAAUGAGAAGGGAUGAUAGACCACUAGCCCAGCAGUAAUGCUAUCAGCAAGUAAUUAAAAUCAGCCACUUUGGGGAAUGGAAUUCAAAAUUGCAUACAGCUGGGCGUGAAGCGGAGAGCAGGUGGGGAGCACUGUGCUCACGCACACUGGAGAACACUGGACUGGUGCCCUGAGGUCAGGGGAAGCAACCACCCUAUUGUCUUACCGGGUGAGUGUGUUUUGCAGGGGAGCAUGGGCUGGCAGUUUGAAGUGAGUUAUGUGCACACUAACGCUGAGCAGGCAGACUCACUGGUGAUGGUGGGCAGCUGUAUGGGCUGAGCUGGAGGCAUUAGCAGGAACUCCUGGUUUGAGGAGCACAUGUGCAUGAGCUUCAGCUGCCAGUGACGGCCAGCAGCAAGACUGCUCCAGUAGCAGUGAGGCCUGCAGUUCCCAGUGCCCUUCUGAAGGCAGGGCUCCUGAGAGGGCUGACCUGGGUGUGUGGGCAAGAAGUGCUCAAGGAGUGGGGCCACAGUGGUAGGACAGGUGCUAGUGUGUGCAACCUGAGGAAUGCCAAGUGGGGACAGUCUGAGUAGCAAGAUAGCCACUGAAUAAGGCAGGUAUUCAGUCUACAGUGAUGGACAUAGGCAGCCAGGUACAUGUGAGGUGGGGGUCUUCCUAAUAGAAUCAGCAUGGGAGACAGGACUGGUGCAAACAGCAAAGUCCCAGUAGGCACAUCAGUGGGAACUGAAGUUACUGUGAAGCCCUGUCACUGUCUCCCCAUGGGAUCUAAUCAGUGCUGCAGAAGCCUGGUGGGUGCCUGCCUCCAGAGGCCAUACCAUACCUUCUGCAUGAUUUUGCAAAGAUGCAUAGUUGCACUUUAGUCAUAAGAAGACACCAGGCAAGCCUGGGUUGAAGGAUGUGCUACAAAGUAGAGAGUGGCUGGGUCAGGACAGCUGGGGAGUCUCUAAAGUAGGUAACAAGGACCCUGAACGUGUGAGAGCCAGUGAAAUCCAGGAAUGUGCAGGACCCAUGAGCAGAGCUGCUAGUGCUCACCCGUUCAAAAUGUUUCAAAGUAAAACAAUGAAGUAAAAAUUGAGUGAUAACCUUCUUACUGAGCUGGUGACAUUAGCAUCGCUGGGGGCCUCUGGACAUGCAGACUGCUGGUGCACAUCUUUAUCAGAGCUGUGCAUAAGGCUUGUGGGAGAUGGCUCGCACCAAGGAGCACCAGCAGGCCUGGACACUGCUGGCUGCUUCCCGUGCAAGAAUAGGAUGGGAACACAUCAGGUCUGUGUCUAGAAACUGAAAGGACACCAGAGAAGCAAGGGACAGUCCACCCACGAGGGUCAGAGGCACAAGCAAGACAUUGCCAUCAUCUUUUUAGAGGUUUUGAUAUCUACAAGUUACCAGCUCAAAACUUAAGAAAAAAAUUAUUUUUCUUUUUGAUACUGGGGAUUGAACUCAGGGGCUCCCUAUCACUGAG